rnacentral:rRNA from 1 species
UACGUAGGGGGCGAGCGUUGUCCGGAUUUAUUGGGCGUAAAGAGCGUGUAGGCGGCCAGGUAGGUCUGCUGUGAAAACUCGAGGCUCAACCUCGAGACGUCGGCGGAAACCAUCUGGCUAGAGUCCGGAAGAGGAGAGUGGAAUUCCUGGUGUAGCGGUGAAAUGCGCAGAUAUCAGGAGGAACACCGGUGGCGAAGGCGGGUCUCUGGGCCGAGAUCGACGCUGAGGCGCGAAAGCUAGGGGAGCAAACGGG